rnacentral:rRNA from 1 species
AUUGAACGCUGGCGGCAGGCCUAACACAUGCAAGUCGAGCGAGCGGCGGACGGGUGAGUAAUGUCUGGGAAACUGCCUGAUGGAGGGGGAUAACUACUGGAAACGGUAGCUAAUACCGCAUACCAUCAGAUGGGCCCAGAUGGGAUUAGCUAGUAGGUGGGGUAACGGCUCACCUAGGCGACGAUCCCGAGCUGGUCUGAGAGGAUGACCGGCCACACUGGAACUUAGACACGGUCCAGACGCCUACGGGAGGCACCAGGGGGGAUUAUGGCACAAUGGGCGCAAGCCUGAUGCAGCCAUGCCGCGUGUGUGACGAAGGCCUUCGGGUUGUAAAGCACUUUCAGCGGGGAGGCGUUACCCGCAGAAGAAGCACCGGCUAACUCCGUGCCAGCAGCCGCGGUACUAC